rnacentral:rRNA from 1 species
GGAAUAUUGGACAAUGGGGGGAACCCUGAUCCAGCGACGCCGCGUGGGUGAAUAAGGCCUGCGGGUUGUAAAGCCCUUUCGGUGGGGAAGAAAAGCCUCGACCUAAUACGUCGGGGUCUUGACGUAACCCACAAAAGAAGCACCGGCUAACUCUGUGACAGCAGCCGCGGUAAUACAGAGGGUGCGAGCGUUAAUCGGAAUUACUGGGCGUAAAGCGCACGUAGGCGGCUCUGCAAGUCGGGUGUGAAAUCCCCGGGCUCAACCUGGGAACUGCAUUCGAUACUGCAUUGCUAGAGUAUGGGAGAGGGAAGCGGAAUUCCCGGUGUAGCGGUGAAAUGCGUAGAUAUCGGGAGGAACAUCAGUGGCGAAGGCGGCUUCCUGGCCCAAUACUGACACUCAUGUGCGAAAGCGUGGGGAGCAAAC